UUUUUUCCUGAAGACAAGUCCUUGUUCUCAGCAAAGUGCCCUGAUGCAUUGCCAGAGUAAAUUGAAUCCCAGAUCCUGAUGCUUCACUUCAGGGAUGUGUCCAUGGAUUGGACUGCCUUGGUGAUAGUUCCUGGAUGCUUCUGUCUCAUCAAUACUGGGCUCCACGUGGCAGAUUCCUGAGCCCUUGGAGGUCUUGGGAGGGCAGAGAGUCAACAUGGAGGAACCUGAUGUCCUGCCAUACUGAAGAGCUUCAAGCUGAAUGAGUGAACUUUUUUUUAUCUCUAUUUGGCACCCGGGAAGAUCCUUGCUGGAGGUGCAUGACUCGGAGGUGCCUGAUCUGGAGGCGCGUUACUUGCAGGUGCAUCACUUGUGGAUAAGCAGCACCCAAAUCCAGACCCACGCAGGGGAAAACGAGCUACAUCCCAAGGAAAACCCUCUCUCCAGUGUUGACAAUGUGUUAAAUAACGUGGGGCCAAGGACAGAUCCAAGCGCUUAGAACUGAGGAACGUCUCUAGAAAUGUUCCUGCUUCGGUGCCAGCUCCUGGUUUGUCCUUAAGCUGAGGGAUCAGCUUGUAAAGCUGUUGAUGUCUUGGCUGCAGGGAGAGAGGAGAAAAUGCAACUGCUCUGAGAAUUGGGCCCUUCCCUCCUCCAGAGCCCCCAGCACUCAACCUUUGAACAUCACAGACUCAAGCCUGGCUGAUGGAUGCUUGGAGCCCAGCAGGACUUAAACACUGCAUGCAUGGAUGCAUGGAUGGAUGGAUAGGGCCAGCCUGGCCACUGCUCCUGUGCCAUGGCAGUGCUGAUGCCUGCUGGGCAGCCUGUUUCAUCACUUACAUGAUCACAAGGGGAAAAGCUGGUGAUGGAGAGUCCAAUUUUGGCAGCUGACAGGCAAGAGCAUGACUGUGACUUUCUGGUGCAGGACCUUGUGCUUGGCCAAUGCAUGUGAGAACUUCAAAGCCCAGUGAGUUAUGCCCCUUCUCUACCCAAAACCCUGCAUCUGGGAACAACCAGACUUAUCUGCCUUUAAAUCCCAAAAGAUUUCCAUGUGUUUUUAAGUUUUAGAAACGGAAAGGAAGACCAGUGAUUUGCAUUUUUGGGUGAGCUUGAGGAAAAACCUAUUGUUGGUGACUCUGUGGGGAGAGGUUUGCUUCUAUCCCAGUGAUUCCUCACCCUAAAAAGGAUAUAUCCUCAUUUAUCUGCUUCAGGGAGAUGCUGUUGAGCUUAAUUCCCAGUACCAGUGAAAUGUUUGAAAGAGAGCUAUUUUUCCCCACCAAAAGCUCUUCCUCGAUGUUGCCUUAGUUUUCAGCUUUUAUCCUGAUGGUGAAUGAAAAUUAUCCCAGGGUUUAUACCUGCACUACCUGAACUUCAACUUGUGACACAAUUUGGUCGUAGCCAACAUUGCACCAAGAACCUUCCAGCCUCUUUGGAAAUGAGGGAAUUGAGUUAUUUAAAGCAAUUGGGCCCCUGCUUUGUGCUGUGUAAUGAUACUUUAUAGUUAAGAGCAUUUAAAACUUCAGGGCCAAGUUCUGCAGUUCUCCGCUGCCCAGAGCUGCCUUUGAUUCCAGCGAGGGUUUUGUACAAGUGAAAACGUCAUAAUUGAGCCCUUAAUCAGCAUUUCUUUUACUGCUGGGGCUUGAAUGCUCUUGAGAAGAGGCUCCAUAUACAAUUGAAGCUAUACUUAUGGCUAAAUGGUGUAGAAAUUAUGAAUAUAGAUGAAAACACUCGAUGUACAAUUUUUGUCGCCGCGUGCAGAAAACGCGCGAUAUUUAGGGCAACAUUUUCUAUCCUUUCAUCUUUUCUGGCACCGUUUCUACCUGUUCAUCACUGUGAUUAAAAUUCCGUGGCAGGAAUUAGCUGUGCGUGUGACUGGGGGAUGCUGAAGGUUGUUGUCUGGGAGCGGGCAGCUGCUCGGUUUGAUCCGGGCUGCUCUGGGGAGAUCAGCAUAGAGAGCAGGGGAGAGGGAGAGGAGGAGGAGGAAGGGUCACAGCAAAGGAGAUCGAAGGGAAAAAGAGGGGGUGACAGCAAGA